GUAUGCGAGUGAAGACCGCUGCGAUUCUACUCUGUCUGUUACUUUCUCCAAACGGGCAUUUCAGAUCACUCUGGUCUAAAGUGUGGACUUCCACAGGUCCAGAACCGCCUUGACUGUUAUUUGAGAAUUGUUGGAGGCAAGAUAUAGAUAACCACCCCUGGUUGGCAAGUGACUUCCUUUUACUGUACAUGUGACACCUUCCUUUUGAGAAAUAUGGCUAUAAGGAUACAGUGCAUUUGGAAAAUAUUCAGACCCCUUGACUUUUUUCACAUUUUGUUACGUUACAGCCUUAUUCUAAAAUGGAUUUUUUUAAAUUGUUCCCCUCAUCUACACACAAUACCCCAUAAUAACAAAAAACUGAAAUAUCACAUUUACAUAAGUAUUCAGACCCCUUACUCUUACUCUUUGUUGUAGCACCUUUGGCCGCAAUUACAGCCUUGAGUCUUCUUGGGUAUGACGCUAAAAUCUUGGCACACCUGUAUUUGGGGAGUUUCUCCCAUUCUUUUCUGCAGAUUCCCUCAAGCUCUGUCAGGUUGGAUGGGGACUGUCGCCGCACAGCUAUUUUCAGGUCUCUCCAGCAGAGAUGUUCGAUUUGAUUCAAGUCAGGGCUCUGGCUGGGCCACUCAACGACAUUCAGAGACUUGACCCGAAGCCACUCCUGCGUUGCUUGGCUGUGUGCUUAGGGUCAUUGUCCUGUUGGAAGGUGAACCUUCACCACAGCUUGAGGUCCUGGGCACUCUGAAGUAGGUUUUCAUCAAGGAUCUCUCUGUACUUUGCUCUGUUCAUCUUUCCCUCAAACCUGACAAGUCUCCCAGCCCCUGCUGCUGAAAAACAUACCCACAGCAUGAUGCUGCCACCACCAUGCUUCACCGUAGCGAUGGUGCUAGGUUUUCUCCAGACGUGACGAUUGGCAUUCAGGCCAAAGAGUUUAAUCCUGAUUUCAUCAGUCCAGAGAAUCUUGUUUCUCAUGGUCUGAGAGUACUUUAGUUGCCUUUUGGCAAACUCCAAGCGGGCUGUCCUGUGCCUUUUAUUGAGGUGUGGCAUCUGUCUGGCCACUCUACCAUAAAGGCCUGAUUGGUGGAGUGCUACGAAGAUGGUUGUCCUUUUGGAAGGAUCUCUGGAGCUCUGUCAGAGUGACCAUCAGGUUUUUUUCAGCAGGAGCUUUGGCCAGACAUUAUUCUUGGCAAUGUAGGAAAUCUUUUCUAAAGUACAUCCUCUGCCUGCUUCUGUGUUCAGACCAUAUUUCUACCUCUGCCCAAUGAGCGCUUCCUGCCCAGGACCAGCUGGCCUGUGAGUGGAUUGGAAUUGACAAUAGAACGUAAGGCCCACAUUCACUUUACCUUCAGUUUGACAUUUAUUACAAACUAGCACUUCAAUAUGGACACCUGACUCUUCACUUGGAUUUUCUGGAUGUUUUGAAGAUGGAGACCUAACUCGAUCCCAGAUCUUUUAUGUAGUAGGUGUGACAAUGACCACACGGAUUUGGUAAGAUGGCACCAACGGAUAUGGGAUCAGGCUAAUGGAAACCCACUGUACCCACAUUCAGCUGGUCGUCUACCUGCCAUUCCGAGAGGAGCAGCUGGAGUUGGUGGAGCCAGCUAAGUGCAAGUAUGUUCUCCAGACCCUGAGACCCCCACAGCAGGCCCGCUGUGUACUGGACGAGAGAGAGAGAGGGAGAGGGUAAGGACACCUGCCAGGUAGGCUACAACGCAGCAUGCUGUCUGACUCGGCAUGUCAAAAUCUAUAACAGUGUUAUUAUGCUUCAGUGGUCUCUGUCCAGUGUCUGGUGGAGGAUUCUGGGUAUUUUCAGGCAUAACAGUUCCUGUUCAGACUUCCCAUCAUUCCUUUGAGAGGUCCUUUAUCAGAUAGUGUUGUAUUCUCCCAUCUCCAGCGGGACUCUGGGGGUCCUCUGAUCUACCCCAGAGAGGAUGGCCACUGGGCCAUGGUGGGGGUCACCUCCUGGGGGAAAGGCUGUGACCAGAGCCGGAUCAACAACAAUGCCGAGUCCCCAGCCAAGGUGGGAUCCCCGGGGGUCUUUACUGAUGUCAAGAUGCUCCUGCCCUGGAUCGAGAGGAAACUCGGAAGGUCAUCUAACACGGUUUAGUCAGUGUGAGCCAUGCAGCGUCGGGAUGUGGCACCGUGGCACUAGUCCAGGAUCAGAGGGCCGUUCAGAGUUUCAACUACCCACAAUCCUACAGCAACAACUCUGACUACCACUGGGUCAUCUAUGCCCCCAGGAUCAUGUUGUCAAGGUGACACAUGUUGACCUCAGUACAGGUGCAUCAAAGCUGGGACAGAGAGACUGAAAAACAGCUUCUAUCUCAAGGCCAUCAGACUGUUAAACAGCAACCACUAACAUUGAGUGGCUGCUGCCAACACACUGACUCAACUCCAGCCACUUCAAUAAUGGGAAUUGAUGGGAAAGGAUGUAAAAUAUAUCACUAGCCACUUUAAUCAAUGCUACCUAAUAUAAUGUUUACAUACCCUACAUUAUUCAUCUCAUAUGUAUACGUAUAUACUGUACUCUAUCAUCUACUGCAUCCUUAUACAUGUAUCACUAGCCACUUUAACUAUGCCACUUUGUUUACAUACUCAUCUCAUAUGUAUAUACUGUACUCGAUACCAUCUACUGUAUCUUGCCUAUGCUGCUCUGCACCAUCACUCAUUCAUAUCUUUAUGUACAUAU